AACGAGCGACUUCCCUCCUCUCUCUCUCUCUUCUAUUUCCUCCCUCGCCCAGCCCAGCGCCGCCGCCAUCGCCUCCUCGCCCAGCCAAGCACCGAUGCCAUCGCCGCCUCCUCUCCGAGCGCCGCCGCCGCCGCCUCCUCUCCCAGCACCGCCGCCGACGCCAUAACCCCUUCCCCUAUAUCCCAUGGGGUCGGGGUGAGCACCGUCGACCCCAUCGUUUGUCCUCUGCCCACGCAAGUCCGUUCACCUCGGCCUCCUCCUGUGUCGUCGUCGGCCCAGCAGAGGCGGUCGAGCCGUUGAGGUGAGCAGCGUCGGGCAACUGUACGGUGUGUACUCUUCUUUUUUUCUUAUUCGUCGACGACGCAUCUGUGCUUUCCCGCGUCGCCUCACCUGCUACCACCAACAACAGCGUAGGGAUCUAGGCGGGGAAGAGCUGCAGCCGACCGCCAAGGGGGAGGGGCCCAAGGAUAGGCCUGCGCUGGCGGUGGCGAUGACGGAGGCGGAGGUGCAAGUGAAGGAGCAGGACGGAGGUGUGGUGGACAAGGCCGCCAUGGCCGCCUUUGACACAGCGCCUGCAUCUUCAUCCACUGCCUCUCUGCCAUGUAUGUGCCUCCUACCAUGCAUCUCCUUGUUAGUUAGGAUGACUUCUUUUUGGGUAAUCUUGGUGACUAAUUUGAUGUUUCUGUUGAAUGUUUGGGGGGUUUCCUGGGGGAGAAAAUAGUGGUAGUUAAUUUAUUGGCAUCAGUUAGCACUGUUGAAGAUUAGUUUAUUGACUUGAGGUUACAAUCCAUGAAAUUUACAUUUUUGGUCUUUCCUUCUUAUUGCUCAUCACAUUUUUAUAUAUGUGUGCCAUGGUUAAAGUUUGCUACUAUUAUUUCACAGAAAUAGUUAGCUAUAGAGGAUAGUUGAUCAAUUUGGUUAUAGCUUAUGGUGCAGACCAAGAACAAACGAUUGUUUUUGAAAGGUUUGAUUGCAGGUAUACCCAAAUCAAGGUCUUUUAUCUAAUUGGUUGGAUAACUACUUUUCAGGUGUCUUCUGAUUACCACAAUAACACAAUUUCCUUAUUCAUGCUUUACGGUUAGUAUUUUUUUUCACUCUGACAAAUUAACUUUUGUUGGUUGCAUGUCAAGUAACAAAGCUAAUACUUUUUUGUUGCUUCAUUGGCAUGGUUAGUUUUACAUCAUUUACUAAGUUGAAAGCAGUUGAGAUGUAUAACUUAAUAUCUACUGUUUUGUUGCGCGUUGCUAUUCCUUGAGGCUGCUCCAAGACGAUCCUUAUUUCAUAUGCAGACAGCUAAUUGCUGUAACAUGUUUAUACUGGUUGGCGUAGCUGUUUGGAUGGCAGUGUUCAUAGCUUAGUGGCAUUGUUUUAGCAUGUCUUUUUUUUCUCUGUAUCCUGUUGGUGCCUUUGGAAACUAAGAAUUACUUUUUCUAGGAUUCUUGCUGGAGGAGAUGAACUUUUAUGGUGAGUUUUUCCCCUGUAUGCCUCGCUUCAGAUAAUGUUUACCUCUGUUUAGUGCCAUUAUUGUUGUUGAACAAUUGAAGAUGUCUUAAAUGCACAUAACAUUGCUAAACCUGUAGGCUGAUGCUGUUGUUAUUAUAGAGGAGCUGUUCAAGGCCAAGGUUUUCCUUGUGAGAAUGCCAUAAUUACAAGAAAAGAUUGCCUGAAAGGUCUUUAUGGAGAUGCACUCACUCGGUCAGUUGCCCAUUGUAUUUUUUGGCCUGUUUGUUACAAUUUCUUGAGGCACAUAAUGCUGUUCGUACAACCUGCAGGUUAGAGGGCCUACCGAGGCUAGCGCGAGGUCUGCUAUGGCAUCGAUGAUGUAGGUGUCAUGACUGUGAGGACUGCUCACACUUCUCCGCUCACAAACCGUGUGGCAGAGUAAAUACUCCGGUCCACGACAAUUAGACCUUCCUCCCUCUCAGCUAUGGUAUUGCAGCGAUCUUCUUCCACCUUCAUUUGUUGAGUUGAAGCAUUAGAAGACAUCCUAUUUUUUUAGCUAUAUUUUGCAAUGUUACUGGUGAAAUAUUUUGUAUAUGGGUGAGGAUAUGGUCGCAGUGGCGUGAGCUUUUUCAUACAUUGAUUUGUUUAUGCAAACCGAUGUUUUCUGUUGUUAGGAUCAUCUGCUCUUUGAUACAUAUUUAUUACCUUCACUAUGCUCAUGGUGCUGCCAUGCUACUAUUUCUUAAUAAGCUUCUCCAUCAAACAUGUUCUAAUUAUGUCUUUCGAGCUGGGGGUUGCUCACCUGACCUUUCAUGAAAAAGAUGGCAAUCUGUUCGGUUUGCGAUCAUUUAUUUAUUUUAAUUAAGAUACCUAGGAAAGUUAGACAGACAUAAAACUUGGUCCAGGAACUCCUUGAUAUUGCAAUGGGUACUCUGUUAUCAUCUCAAUUUAUUAGUUGCUAGAGGUUGUACCUUUGACGUGGACCAUAAGUAGUCCAUAUGAGCUGAACUUUCUCCAGAGGAGAAAGUCCCGAUGCAAGCUGACAUGUUUCUUAGCUGUAAAUUUGGUUUUACCAUCGUCUGAAGAAUUUCUUCCUACCUGGUUGCUAGGCCUGACCAGUAUUCAGGCACCCUAGCCUUUUUGCCCCUUGGCAAGAAACCUUGGCAGGUGCCAUGAGCUACAGAAGCUGGAGUCCGAAACUCCUAGAGGGAUUGGAAGGUUUAUGGUGUUUGAAAUGAGAACCCAAUAAAAUUCUUUUCCAUGUCGUUGUCCAGCUGGAACUGAUAUUCUUAUUUCUCUUGUCAACACUGGAGAAGCUUAUUAAGAAACAGUGUCAGACUAAGUGGAAAUAAUUGGAAGAUUUUGCGUUAACUUAUUUCUCACUUGACCCCAUCUAUCCAGGUGCCACAAAGUGCCCAGGCAGCAGGAAGCACAUAUAAAACCAUUGAUGCUCUUUUCCGUAGGAGAAAUAAGUGAACGGGCAAUCUUUUCAUCUCUGUAUAAAUUCAGAUGUGAUUAGCCAGGUCCAGAAGGUUUGGUCUAUUUCUCACUUAAUCCCAUUUGUUCCUCUUUAGAUAGUACUUUUUCUUUGAGUUCAUAUGCGAUUAGCCUUCAUGAUGCAUGGAUGCAAAUUUUGCAGUUGGAUUCUUGAUGUGCACAUAAAUACGUUGAGAAGAUGGAACUAGAAUUAAGCUUCCGUCCAUCUGCAGGUUAGAAUAUGCCGUUAAUAGCAAAAGAUCCUUCUCAAUGUUACAUGUGCUUGAGCUGCUAUUUUGAAACAUAGCUGUUGAGGUGCUUAUCUUUUAGUUUGAGUUUUGUUAAUAUGGUCUGAAUUUAUCAUAAUUAUACUAUUUUAAGACGAAUAUAAAUUGCUGGAGUUAAUAUAUGUCAUGACCCACUGAUCAUGAACAACAAUCAACUCCUAGCCAUGCCAAAACAAAGCUAAAGAUGGAUAUUGCAAAGAAAGGUAUGACAUGAUAACCAAUACGGACAACAACAAGAUAGUAUAAUCCUUCAACAUAAGUAAAACAUAAGAUGGGGUCAACAAGCAUAUGCUUGCCUUGCUGGUCAAUGUCCUGAUGAAGCUGCGGAUCGAACUCAUAACACCCCUCGUUGCCGGACUCUAUUGAAACGACGAAGAAACCUUGGAAAAGAAGCAAACGGAGAAAAAUCAGUAUUCAUUAAUUUCCAAAAUGUGUAGAGCGCAUGAAUUGUAUGAGAUGUCAUGCAGAAAGUUGAAAAUGAAGCUACUGAAAUUGGCAACAAAAAUUUUCUUGGGCGUCUUAGAAUGCAAGUUGUGAAUUUUAAAAGAUUUAAAGACAUUUUGUUAAAGUAAAUCAUCUUUUAGACUGACUAAGCUUGAUUUUGUUAUGGAUUUUACAACUUUGAGCACUUUUAUGUGAUUUUCCUCAUAAAUCAAAUGUUAGAGUGAAAACUUUUAUAUAUAGGGAAGUCCAGCCUUAGUCUGACACUGUGACAAGCAAGUAAAUUAAACAGUACUGAAUAUGCCAUCUUUCUUCAUAGCUAAUCAAUCUCUCUUUCUCUCAUCUGCACGCAGGUCACGGCUAACGUCAUCAAGCAUCAACAUCAAGAAACAAGCAGCCAACAGAAUGCAGCAAAGCAGCUAGCGGCAGCAAGCAGCAAACAACAUCAGCAGCAUGCAGCCAGCAACAUGCAGAGGCGAUUUCUCACCUUGCUGUUAGUGCCGAGGUCGGGCGGAGCAGAGCAACGAGCUCCACACAGUGGCAAUGAUGGUCAGCGUCGAGGAAGAAUUAGGAGGGACCCAUGGCUUCGAAUGCCGAGGUCGGGCGGAGCAGAGCAACGAGCACCACACAGCGGCAAUGACGGUCAGCGUUGAGGAAUAAGUAGGAGGGACCCAUGGCGUGGUCCAGGGGAGACGUGGACAACGCGGAGCCCAUCACGGUCUGUCGAGCUGUUCGGUGAGGAGGAUGACCGCAGCGGCGACCGACGGAACCGAAGAAGGCAGCCUCGGUCCAAGAGGUUCCUGCGCGCUGGCACCCGGAAUCACCAUUAAAGGGACGACAGGAGCAACAUUAAUGAAGCUAGGAGUCUACUAGGAGCAAGAAUGCACCAGAAAUACGAGGUGGUUCCCGGCGGUGUCCAGCGGGCAUGCAUGUCAGAGCCAGAGGUGUGGACGUCGAUCCCGACCGAGGGCUGGUGUAUCCGGCCGAUUCAUUCGGUUGACGUUGCAACAGCGACUGGCAUCCCCGGCGAGCUGGACGAGAAAGGGGAUCUAGGAGGGAAAUGAAGUGAGGGAAGCAACGGGGCAGAGUAGGAGAAAAGGUGAAGGGGCAGGGGUUUGCCGGCGCGUGUCCCUGCGAGAUGGUGAUGUGGGCGUGGUGGUUCAGUAGUGGGGGCCGGUGGCAGCUGUCUUCCACCAUGUAUGCUGAAGGCAUUCCAUCUAAAACAACAUUGAGUGCGUGCUUAGAUCAGGUAAGACAAUGGCAAGAAUAAAUCCACCUAUCUGACUUUCCUCUAGGCAUUUCAAUUUGUCAGGAGCUGAAAUAUUGUGACCCGUGUUCAUUUAUGUGUUGCUAACUUUACAAGCGGCAAUCACACACUGCUUACACCAUGUACUAUUGGAUUGACGCACUUCCUUGAGCUCUAUGCGGUGCACCUGUCAAAGUUGGUAAAUGAAGCGGUAAGUUAUUCUUUUUUUCGGG
rnacentral:lncRNA from 1 species